rnacentral:rRNA from 1 species
AUUGAACGCUGGCGGCAGGCCUAACACAUGCAAGUCGAACGAGUGGCGGACGGGUGAGUAAUGUCUGUGAAACGGACUGGGGGAGGGGGAUAACUAAUGGAAACUGUAGCUAAUACCGCAUACCAUCGGAUGUACCCAGAUGGGAUUAGCUAGUGGGUGGGGUAACGGCUCACCAAGGCGACGAUCCCUAGCUGGUCUGAGAGGAUGAACAGCCACACUGGAACUGAGACACGGUCCAGACUCCUACGGGAGGCAGCAGUGGGGAAUAUUGCACAAUGGGCGCAAGCCUGAUGCAGCCAUCCCGCGUGUAUGAAGAAGGCCUUCGGGUUGUAAAGUACUUUCAGCGGGGAGGCGGUACCCGCAGAAGAAGCACCGGCUAACUCCGUGCCAGCAGCCGCGGUAAUUC